UGGAAAAGAAACUUUUAUUUAAACUUUUUUUCACAAUUUGUUCAGGAUAAUUCGAAGGGGGAGCACGGCAUUCUUUAAUGUUGAGUAGGGCAAGGAGUAAGAGAAAGGCUCGUUUCUCAGUGACAGACUUUUGCAACUGAAGAUCCAGAUAACAUUUACAAAAGUGGGAAGAGAUCUUCUUUUCCACUUGUACAAGGAAGAAAAGGGUUUGCUUAACCUUCCAGUGCAAAUGAGGUUCGUUCACCCUUCUCCACUUCCGGUGGGGCUGGCCCUCCAAGGGAAGGAGUGCUUUUCCCUCCGGAAUCUCCUCCCUGACCUCUGUGACCACCGAGCCUGCACCGCAGGGAAGCUGAAGAAUGUCCGCUGUGCACCUUUGCUCUAAGUCCGCUCCUCAGAGGCCUCGGUAACUACUGGGCUGUUUCCUGCCCGGCCACAAAGCAGAUCUGGGCUUGUGCGGGGAACCCGCUGCCUCUUCCGCCUCUUUCCAUCACUUCGGACACAAGCUUCCCAGCUCCCCAAACAGAAGCGCGUCCCAAGCCUUGGCCCACACCUGUGAACUUCGCUCCUCAAUGGAGUGCUAGAGGCCCCUCUAAGCAGAACUGGACCGUGUCCAGGCGCUCUCUGCAGGUUCCUCAAACAUUAACCCGGCAGAUGUUUUUGCAAGAGGUUCAUGUUUGGCUUUCCAGUUGGUUCUCCAGGCUCCAAGGGGCGAGUCUGAGGGUGGAUCCUCAGAGUCCACGCCACCCCCACAGUCCUCUGUCCCUCCUCCCCGGGGAGGCAGGGGAAGGAAGCCCCUUGUGUGCAAGUGCUGACCGCCACCGACUCCCGCAAAGAAAGCCAUGAGCCCCGCCCUCCUAAACUUCGAGGCGUCCACGAACCCUCCUCCUAGUGGAGUUUUGGAAGGGUUUUUUCCUUCCACGCUGCCUCACCAGAACUGGCUUGGGGCAUCUUUUCUCUACAAUAAGAAACGACUGCUUCUCUGAUCAGCUGCAGGGAAGGGCCCGCUAACCCGGGAGGAAGGAAACCUGGCCACCGCAGACCCUCCCUGCCGGGAGACCAGCGCGUGCGCCAGGCGCUCCAAGGAACUGGCGAGGCGGCGCCGUUAGAGGGCAGCACGCGCCUGCCUCAUGGAGAGCGGGCUCCCAGACACCCCUUCAAUUACAGGAUGUCUCUAACUGCAAAGGCACUGGGGCUCCAGCGUCUGCAGAAAAACAAGCUGGAGAGACCCAGGGAGGUGGAGAGGAGGCACGCCUCCGAUGGAAGCGCUGCUCCCAGGAAGGCUGGGCUGGCAGCCCUCGCCUCCUCGUGCCGAGAGCCCGCACCCUGACGGGGCACCCCGUAGAGCGCCGAGCAGGGACCCAGGGAGCGGGGCGGGGAGCCCGGGCACCCAGCCCUGGGCGCACUGCGCUCCGGGCCUCCUGGAACGCCGGGACAAAGGCGCUUACUGGUGCUGCCCGCAGCUGGGGGCACGCUAGGCUUUACAAGGAAAGACGAAAUCCGAUCCUGGCAAUCGAGAUAGAGCGUCCGCGCCCGCCUUUGAGGUGACCCAGUUCUGAGACCAGCGCUUGGCUCAGGACGCUCUUGUAGAUGACCCUGGGAUUCUUCUUCCCUCCACAUUCAGUUCAGUGGUUUCAGCUGAAAAGGAACUCGGCAGCCUGUAAAUUGGGAGCAAGGACAGAACUGAACUUCCCAAGCAGACUGAACUUCCCAAGGACAGCAGUCGAAAAGCUGGAGGAAACGUAAACGGAUCCAAAUUUUUCCAUUUUCAGUGUUAAAUAUUGAGAAGUGAUAUUGGCUGCUGAUAUGGGAAGUCAUGAAGAUGGAUCACCCCAACCAUCUUGGCAUUUGAAACAAACUUACUGUUUACUGUGAUUCAAAAAUCAAGUUGACACUUGCAGGUUACACAAAAUUCUCCCUAUAAAUUAUAAAUAAAAGAAUUAAGUGGGUCAAAAA